CGCUGGCGGUAGGCUUAACACAUGCAAGUCGUGCGAGAAAGUAUCUUCGGAUAUUAGUAGAGCGGCGGACGGGUGAGUAACGCGUAGGAAUCUACCUAGUAGAAGGGGAUAGCCCGGGGAAACUCGGAUUAAUACCGUAUACCUCCUUAGGGAGAAAGAGGGCCUCUCAUGAAGCUCUCGCUAUUAGAUGAGCCUGCGUAAGAUUAGCUUGUUGGUGAGGUAAAGGCUCACCAAGGCUACGAUCUUUAGCUGGUCUGAGAGGACGAUCAGCCACAUUGGGACUGAGACACGGCCCAGACUCCUACGGGAGGCAGCAGUGGGGAAUAUUGGACAAUGGGCGAAAGCCUGAUCCAGCCAUACCGCGUGUGUGAAGAAGGCCCUAGGGUUGUAAAGCACUUUAAGCAGGGAGAAAAAGCAAAAAGUUAAUACCUUUUUGCCGUGAUGUUACCUGCAGAAUAAGCACCGGCUAAUUCCGUGCCAGCAGCCGCGGUAAUACGGAAGGUGCAAGCGUUAAUCGGAAUUACUGGGCGUAAAGCGCGCGUAGGUGGUUUGUUAAGUUGGAUGUGAAAGCCCUGGGCUCAACCUAGGAACUGCAUCCAAAACUAAUUCACUAGAGUACGAUAGAGGGAGGUAGAAUUCAUAGUGUAGCGGUGGAAUGCGUAGAUAUUAUGAAGAAUACCGGUGGCGAAGGCGGCCUCCUGGAUCUGUACUGACACUAAGGUGCGAAAGCGUGGGUAGCGAACAGGAUUAGAUACCCUGGUAGUCCACGCCGUAAACGAUGACAACUAGCUGUUGGGAGACAAUGUCUUUCAGUGGCGCAGCUAACGUUUUAAGUUGUCCGCC
rnacentral:rRNA from 1 species